CCUACGGGUGGCAGCAGUGGGGAAUAUUGCACAAUGGGGGAAACCCUGAUGCAGCGACGCCGCGUGAGUGAAGAAGUAUUUCGGUAUGUAAAGCUCUAUCAGCAGGGAAGAAAGAAAUGACGGUACCUGACCAAGAAGCCCCGGCUAACUACGUGCCAGCAGCCGCGGUAAUACGUAGGGGGCAAGCGUUAUCGGGAAUUACUGGGUGUAAAGGGGGCGUCGACGGUUAAGUAAGUCUGGAGUGAAAGGCCGGGGCCCAACCCCGGGACUGCUCUGGAAACUAUUGAACUUGAGUGCAGGAGAGGUAAGCGGAAUUCCUAGUGUAGCGGUGAAAUGCGUAGAGAUUAGGAGGAACACCAGUGGCGAAGGCGGCUUACUGGACUGUAACUGACGUUGAGGCUCGAAAGCGUGGGGAGCAAACAGGAUUAGAUACCCCAGUAGUC
rnacentral:rRNA from 1 species